rnacentral:sRNA from 1 species
GACUCGGGGUGGGGGAGGUCGGGGAGGGGGCGAUAAAAUGGCGCAGGGGGCGGAGUGAGGCGCAGUCGUUCGCCCAGGCUUUGGCCCGGCUUCCGGAGGAAGGUGGGAGUCAAUCAUUUUGACAAGUCUCCUGAAAGGAACAGCUAGCAGGAAUUGAAACCUUUUUCCAUUUGGUCUCGUGGCAAAGGCAGAGAUUGCUCCAGCAGCUCCACACAAAAUGAUGUGCUCACGGGUGCCCUCUGAACAGUCUUCUGGUACCUCUCUCUUGCCUAAAGACAGUGCCCCAUUUUCUUGGGGUUCCUUGGAUGAGGAUGGAUUGGAUGACUCCUUGCUGGAGCUGUCAGAGGGAGAGGAAGAUGAUGGUGAUGUAAAUUACACAGAGGAAGAGAUUGAUGCACUGUUGAAGGAAGAUGACCCAUCAUAUGAGCAGUCUUCUGGAGAAGAUGACGGUGGGCAUGUUGAGAAGGGAGAAAGAGGGAGUCAAAUUCUACUUGAUACUCCCCAAGAGAAAAAUUCAUCGUAUAGCCUGGGACCAGUAGCUGAGACUCCUGACCUCUUCAAACUACCUCAGCUAAGUACAUCAAGUGGUCAUGGACCAGCUCAUACUAAACCAUUAAACAGACGCUCUGUGCUAGAAAAGAAUCUUAUAAAAGUAACUGUUGCACCAUUUAAUCCAACAGUUUGUGAUGCUGUGCUUGAUAAGGACGAGACUGAUUCAUCCAAAGAUACUGAAAGACUCUCUUCCCUUGGAGAAGAGAUGAGAGAAGAUGGUCUUAGCCCAAAUGAAAGCAAACUUUGUACUGAAUCUGAAGGGAUCAGCCCCAAUAACUCUGCCUGGGAUGGGCCCCAGCUCUCUUCUUCAAACAAUAACUUUGAACAGACUGUCUCUGAUAAAAAUAUGCCUGACAGUGAGAACCCUACGUCUGUAUUCUCUCGGAUCUCAGACCAUUCAGAGACUCCUUCUACUAUGGAGUUAUCCUGCAGAAAUGGUUCACACAAGUCAAGUUGUGAAAUGAGAUCUCUGGUUGUUUCCAGCUCAUCAAACAAACAGGAUGUUCUUAAGGAUUCUGGGAAGAUGAAAGGCCAUGAGAGAAGACUAGGCAAAGUCAUUCCUGUUCUACAAACCAAGACCAGGACUAAUGUUCCGACGUUUUCACAAUCAAAUCUAGAACAGCAGAAGCAGCUUUAUCUCAGGAGUGUCAUUGCUCAUAUAGAAGACCCAGAGGACACUAACCAAGGAUGAAUCCCUAGAAGUGGAAUUGCUGGGCGCGGUAGCUCAUGCUUGUAAUCCCAGCACUUUGGGAGGCCGAGGCAGAUGGAUCAUCUGAAGUCAGGAGUUCGAGACCAGCCUGACUAACAUGAUGAAACCUGUCUCUACUAAAAAUAUAAAAAUUAGCUGGGCGUGGUCGUGGGCGCCUGUAAUCCCAGCUACUCGGGAGGCUGAGGCAGGAGAAUCUCUUGAACCCAAGAGGCAGAAGUUGUAGUGAGCAAAGAUCACGCCAUUGCACUCCAGCCUGGGCCACAAGCAAAAUUCCAUCUCAAAAGAAAAAAAUGUUCAUUUUCUAAAUAUAUAAUUUCUUCUACAGUUAUUAACUAGCAUUCUUUUAUAAAGAUUUUCUAUUAUUUUAGUAUUAAUAUAACCUCAUGGAUUUUUUUUAAAGAAUCAAUGUGUUGUAAUCAAUUAUAGCUACUGUUCUUUCUUUCUUUUUGAUGCUCAGUUUGUCUCAAAUUUGAUAAAUGGGAGCUCCUUCAAGAUGACUCUUGUUCCUAUUGACAUGAUCCCAUUAAUCUUGUUUUAAUUGUAAAAAAAAAAUACAUCUAAUGUAAAAUUACCAUCUUAAUCAUUUUUAAGUGCACAAUUCAGUAAUGUUACAUAUAUUCACAUUGUUGUGAAACAUAUCUCCAGAACCUCUUCAUCUUGCAAAUCUAAAACCCUACCUGCACAACAGUUCCCCCUCUCUCCCUUCAGUCUCUGGUAACCACCAUUCUACUUUCUUUUUUUUUUAAAUAUGACUACUUUAGAUACCUUUUAUAAGAGGAAUCAUACAAUAUUUAUCUUUUUGUGACUGGCUUAUUUCAUUUAGUAUAAUGUCUUCAAGGUUUACCCAUUGUGGCAUGUGACAGGAUUUCCUUCCUUUUUAAAUAUUUUUAUUUUUAUUUUUUUUCUAUUUUUCUCACCACUCAAUUUCCUUCCUUUUUAAGGCUGAAUAAUAUUCCAUUGUAUAUAUACACACCAUUUUGUUUAAUCCAUUCAUCUGUCAGUGGACAUUUGGGUUGCUUCCACUUCUUGGCUAUUGUGAAUUGUGCCACUAUGAACAUGGGUCUACGGAUAUCUCUUUAAGACCCUAUUUUUAAUUCUUCUGGAUAUAUAUGCAGAAGUGGGAUUGCUGGACCAUAUGGUAGGUCUGUUUUUAAUUUUUUGAGGAACUUCAUACUGGUUUUCACAGCAGUUGCACCAUUUUGCAGUCCUACCAACAGUGCACAAGAGUUCUAAUUUUUCCCUAUCCUUGCCAGCACUUAUUUUUUUGUGCUUUUUUUUUUUUUUUUUUUUUUUUUUUUGAGGCUGGAGUCUCACUCUGUCACCCAGGCUGGUGCAGUGGUGCAGUCUUGGCUCACCACAAUGAUGAUGAGGCACAAGAAUCAAGCGAUUCUUGUGCCUCAUCCUCCCAAGUAGCUGGGACUACAGGCGCACUCCAUCACGUCCGGCUAAUUUUUGCAUUUUAGUAGAGAUGGGGUUUUGCCAUGUUGGUCAGGCUGGUCUCGAACUCCUGAGCUCAAGUGAUCUCCGCAUCUCGGCCUCCCAAAGUGCUGGGAUUGCAGGUAUGAACCACUGUGCCUGGCUUGUGUUUUUGUUUUUGUUUUGUUUUUUUUACAGUAGCUAUCCUAAAGGGUGUUAAAUCAGUAUUCAUUGUUUUUGUGUCACAACUAAGUAUUAUUCACUGAAAAGCCAAGUAGUAUAUUAUGGCUUCAUUUUCUUUCUUGAAUUGUUUAUUUUUGUAGAGUUGUUAAUUGCUUCAGUUUCUUUCAUUAAAUUUUUUUUUCGGGAGAGCUUUUUCCUAGAGCCUUCUGUUCUACUGCUCCAAUUUUCACUGCUUGUUCUUUAGCCCUGCAACAGAGCUGUCAUCCCAGGAUUUUCCUCUGCUGCCCUCCUGGGUCGAAUCCUGUUUCUUGGAUCCUAUAUCUUCCUCUUUCUUAUUUUUGGUUUUAGUAGAGGACAUCCUCUGAGAAUAUCUAAGAAAGGGUGCAUAGAUGUUUUCUUUGUCUCUACAUAUCUGAACAUGUCUUUAUUCUGUCCUCAUACUUGAUCGAUAGUUUGAUAUAGAAUUCUAAAUUUAAAAUCAAUUUUUGCUCAGAAAUUUGAAGACAUGGCCAGGCCCAGUGGCUCACGCCUGUAAUCCCAGCACUUUGGGAGGCUGAGGCAGGCGGAUCCCAAGGUCAGGAGUUCGAGACCAGUCUGGCCAAUUUGGUGAAACCCCAUCUCUACUAAAAAAAAAAACAUACAAAAAUUAGCCGGGUGUGGUGGCGGGCGCCUGUAGUUCAGCCUGGGCAACAGAGCAAGACUCCGUCUCAAAAAAAAAAA